GUGGAGGAGGCUAAUAAUAAAUAAAAUAAGUGUCAUCUUUGGUCCUCUCACCCUCCUUGCUCGCUGCACGGGACCGAAAUAUGCAUAUGUAUUAUUAUUAGUGUAUAAUUUGUGUCUACUGACGCACAUUUCUCUCCUCGUAUCGGGGAAGUGAUCAAAUGAGAAAUCAGAAAUUUAUGACAAGCGCUUCCUUACUCGACAGGCAGUAUAUUCGCCCCUUCUUGUUUGGUAAUAAUAGCGUCUUGCGGUUUCUGGCUGGAUAAUAAUAGCAUGCAUAAUAAUAGCAACCCGGCAUAAGUUAUGUGGAGAAGGAGGACAGGGGAACUGAACGUAGAGGUCAGAUUAGAGAGGGAGGACUUCAACUUUUUGUAAAUAUUUUUUCGUUACACUUCCAGCCACCAAACGUGUGAACUGACGGCGUCAGUUUAACUACUUGAUGGUUAGAAUUAGGCGACUAUGCUGUCAUUUUAACAGCAACGUCAUUUGUAUCUGCAUGAAAAUUGUUUUUCCUUUCAUCAUCCAGAAGUUAAAUACCAUUCCAUAUUUGUGGUGCUUUACUUUACAAAAUCGCCCACGCUGAUGCUGGCAAUUUCCAAAGUAUCAAAGUUUUCGCAUUUUGUGUUGGUAAUAAUGUCGAGAUGGGAGUCCACUUCUCAGCCUGAUGCACUUAUGUAUGAAAAUUGGAUCUCUAAAACUAUGCAAAACACAGCAUGAGGGAAAGAUGCAAAUUACUAUUGGAUAGUCGCACAGUG